AGGACCCAAUUCUCAUGGGUCCUGCGACAAGACCCAAGGGUAAUGGGUCCAGCAUCGAACCCAAUUCUCUUGGGUCCUGCGUUAGGACCCAAGGCUAAUGGGUCAU
rnacentral:pre_miRNA from 1 species